rnacentral:lncRNA from 1 species
CUCUCCCCGCCGCGGCAGCAGGAGGAACCCGGGCGGCUAUCGAGGCUGGCGAUGGGGUUAAGCGCCCCUCGUGCGUGAGCCCGCCGCCGCCGCGCCGGCCCGAGUCCGCCGGUCGCGCCGCCGCAGCCGCGGGAGUACUGCAUUUGGGACUUGCUUUUUGGUUGAAUGCUAAGCAGAAGAUACGAUGAUGGCAGUCGUGUUGCGAAUGUUAGGUUAGAAAUACUUAUCAUUUAAGUGAAAACAACACAAGUAAAAUUCUGCUCUUACGGUAUUUUUUAUUUUUUAUUUUUUGGAAAAGAUGUUAUUCGACCAAUUUGCCUCUCAUGAGGAAGAAACAGCAGUGGCAACGUAUUUAUUUGAUGGUCUGCCUUUAGUUACAGGUGGUGAUAGUGUUAUCACCAGACAUGAUAUUAAACCUUUCUUUUUUUAAUUUCCUUCGAGAAGUACUGUGGUCUUCGGGGUUGGAGUGUUUUGUAGAAGAUCUGUAAGUUAUAGUUUGUUCUCUGAUAUUAAGAAAAAACACAACAGUGGAAAAGGUAACAUUAGGACUUGUUGUGUCUUAAGUCAUGGAAGGUCAGAAAGGUAAUCAUAACUCAGUUCUACUUGUUUUACAAAACUAUAAUUGCUACUGAGACCAGGAUUUGUUCCUUUUCUCAGGAGGAAACAUGGCUACGACUAAAUAUUAGUCAUUGUGAGGGAUGUACACACAACGUUGAGGAGAUGGAUAUUGUGACCUUCGUAUUUCUCUUAAACAUAGACUUAUACUUAACAUAGAAUUGCAUCUUAUACUUUUUUUCUCUGUUCUGUUAUGUUGUAGAAGUUUGAUAUUCAUUGCUCCUUAUGUUUCAUUAUAGUUGCCUCACAUCAUUCUUUCUCAUUUUAUAAUACUUGCUUAAAGCCUAUCUGUGUGACUGCUUCAAACCAGCUGGAUGCAGUAGGUGAAAUGCUUUAGAUCUAGCUCCAGAUGCAAAAUAGAAGUAUCAUUCUUGAGAGGUGCUGUCAGCUUUGUCCCGUAGCUUAACUUAAGUUCAUGUGUCCUUGCAAUGCUACUUCAAGUCAUUUAUUUCUCUACUGGGUUGGUUUGCAGUGCCAUAUCCUUAAAUAGGAUACUUUUUAAGUUUGAGGCACUCUAUUGUAGGCUUUUAAAAGCAGUCGAUACAAUUGUGCUUUUUUGUCUCCUUGAGGUCUGUUGAACUUGUAUUCCAAAUGAGUGAGUUUUGAGGUAAUGAUCAUGGAGCAAAAGGAACUUUGCAGUGCAGUAUAGAUUGAGUUUUAUAAAAACCUUUAAAAACCUUUGCAUAUGUUGAGUGAGCAUAUAUGUAGUGAGCUACGUAACUGUGCUGUAACUUUACUGCUUGUGAAAAAUAGCACUAACUUUGGAUAUUCUGAUUUGUGUUAGCCAACGUAAUCACUACAAAGCACACUGACUGAACUUUUCUAGUAGAUUCUAGUUCCUCUUCUACUCAGAGUUAAGCAAUAGCUAGUAAACACAAAAUAUUGUUGUUAUUGGAUGUAACAUCUAAGGAGCUUUCACAGAGGCGGUGGAGUAUUCUGUAAAGCUGGCGCUGUUAGACUGGGAGGACUGCAGAGAUGUUUGGGUUUGGGAGCCCAGUUAAUCUCUUAGUGGCAGUUUUCCCACCUACAUUCCGUGUAGGGAUGGUUUGAUAGAAAUGACCCAGGGGCUUUUGUUAAAAAGUGCAUUCCAAAUUGAGCCUUUAAAUAAUGGAAAGAUGAGUUGUUUGGCUCUGCAGGAUAUUCACAAUAAGGCCAUUCACACUUUUUUUUUUUUUUAAGGAAAGAAGAAUCUAUGAGAAUGCCUUAAUUUGGUGCUUAUUCAGGAUGAUUGGUAGCACUUAUGCAAGCCCUUAAAGUAUGCUUUUUCUUUGAGUUUCUUUGUUGGUUUUUCUUUGAGGUGGUAAACUGAUGCACUGUAUAACAGUGUUAUGUUAAGAGGUUUUCUGAAAGUGGUAUUGGAAAGCUAUUCCUAGGAGAUCAUAAAUCAGCAAUAGGUUCUGAUGAAAUGUGGCUGGGAAGAUGGUACUUUCAGCCUACCUGUAACCCUAAUUCGAUUUCAAGACUUUUCGAAGGAGUCCUGUAGAGGAAGUAAUAUCUGUAACCAGAUUUAUGGAAGCUCAGCAGCUUUAAUUACAGAAAAGCCAGCACUGCUACUCCUGCACAUAAGUUAGCCUCCAGAUUAAUGCAGGUAUUAUGAGAAUUCUGUCACUGUGUCACUUUGUGAUAUGAACCAUUUUCCAAUAGGGAGCAUUUAUGUUUCCAAGCAUAUUAUAUUUUCUUUCUGUAUGCUUGUAUCCAGGCUGAUGAAGCAAGCUGUAGAUUUGAAGUGUGGCUAAAGGAUGCUUAAUCGAGGGUUUAUUUUCUGUUCUUCAUCUUUGAUUCACUUUGGAAGGCAAUAGGACAUUUUCUCUUUGCAGCCACUGCUUUCUGUAUAAUGAUGUAUAUGCUGCAUAGUUUAUAUGUCCUUGUUCAUAUGCUAAGUUUUUCUGGUUUUUUAUUCCUUUCCUAACAUGAAUUCUUAUUGUUUAAUCUGUAAUUUGGAGCAUUUUCUGUAUAAAGUGGAGUUUUGUCCUUUAGCAUGCUCAGCUCUCUUCUCAGCUCCCUCACCAGUUUUAUUUGCUACCAAGUUUAUACUACCAUUUAUGGAAGGUCUUUGUCCAACCGUGUACAGAAGGGUCUGAUGACUGAAGCUUAUUGUGACAAACGUCUGUCGUUAAAGAUAUGGCUGAAUAGCAUAGCAUAAUUAUUACUUCCUUUCAAAAGUAUAGGUUUGAUUAGCUAGUAUGACCAGGGUAAAAAAAAUCUCUAAAAGGUACAAAUACAGAAACUGUUAUUGUUAGGUUUGAUGCAGCUGAGUAUUCUAAGCAAAGCUCCAGUGCUGAAUUUCAGACUAAAGGACAAAAGCGUGCUACAAUAGCUGAAUGUUACAUUGCCAUACUUGUUUUGAAAAAGUACACUUUCUGCGAAGUGAAGUGUAAUAAUUUUCUGUUCAUGUGAAGUUCCAACUAAGCCAUUUUACUUCGUGUUACAGUAGAACGAGAUAUAAACAGAUGUGCUCCUUGCAGCUAUCUGCCUGCAUGCAGGAAUCUGUCAUACUGACAUAUUAGCUUUUUGUCGACACCCUCUUAUCACCCCCUCUGAUCUGUUAAUUGGGCUGUUAUUAUGAGCAGUUUUUGAGCAUUUCACUUUAGACUGUGUAGGAUGUAGGGCUCUUUUUUAAUUCUAAUUUAAACACGUCUAGGGAAGCUCACAGGAACAGUUUAGCUGGCAGAUGGAGGAAAUGGUGACUUGGAAGUGAGAUCAGUGACUUCUUUCGCUGGUGCAGCUGAAUCUAGAAAUCUGAAUCUAGGCUGUUUGGUGUGCAGCUGGUGAGGGAAUUUUGAACUAACUCAAGUGCUUUUGCCAGUAACAGAUUGAGGAGUGUUCUCCGAGUCCUUUUUGAUGUCAGAGCUCUGGGUGUGCUGCUGAUGGUGAGUACCUGGGAGUAAUUGCAUCACUGACCACCACGCUGGAUCUACAGGAUUAUUUUAAUUUGUUUUCAUAUUUUAAGUGAGCUCAGAAUUAUUUGUUGUGUUACUGCAGAGAUGUAGUAGGAGUUUUUAAAGUCACUGGAAAAUUACUGAGCUUUAUGUAUUUCAGACUUCAAUCAAGUGGGUUUUUGUUUGUUUGGUUGGUUGGUUUUGGUUUGUUUUUUUUUUGCACCCAAGUGAUUCAGUAGAGGAGAUCAGAAAAUUAGCACAUCAGUUUGUGGGAAUUUCUUGUCUGUAUUCUCAAGGAGUUCUAUGGAGUAUUUCAAUGAAAGGUACAGUAAAAGGCUUGUUUCCUUGAAAGCACCAUAAAUCUCUCUGUCUCUCGAUUUAAGAGAUAUUUCAGAUUUGGUCUGCACUGUAGGUGUUCAAAGAGUGAGACGUGAUGCCUGGAUUAUAUUGUUCUCAUUUUCCUUCAUAAUCUAUUGAAUCUUUUUCAGAACUUUAAAGCAGGAACCAAACCCUUGCCAGUUUCUAACUUCUCUUUGAACUGCCUCGAUUGCUUAACAUAGCUACCCAGAAUGAUAGUACCUUGCCUCAAAAUAAAACUCUGCUUGGGUUUUUGAGUUGAUGCAUCCUUAUCUUUUUUAACCUUGGGAAGUCAGACUACUCCCAAACAAGAACUUUUUGCCUAAGGACUUUCCUUCUGACUAAAGGAAGCUGACUAAUGUUCUUGUGUUAAUGACUAUUUGCAUACACUUCAAUGGAAGGAACUGUUGUAAAAUGGAUAAUUAGAUAUUGAUAGUAUCUACUGAUAGUAAUUCUGUUUUUAGAAUUAGCAGUAACAAGGCGUUGAUUUUUUUGUUUUCAUUUUUUUUUAAUUUGUAACAAAGAUAGCAAGUAAUUAGUCUCCUAGCUCAGGUGUUAUGGGGUUUUUUUCCUUAAGCACCUCAAAGUAAUGUUUAGUGUAUUUUCAUUGCAAAUAAUGCCUGAAAAGGAUUCUAGGCACGUGUUUCGUUGCACAUUACAUUAUUUUCAUGGAAAUAUAAGCUCCUCUUUCAAGGGUGUGAAGCUGUAUCAGAAGUCAGUAACACCCUUGUGGUAUGGGAUGGGAGGAGGAACAGGACGUGCAGAGCUACUUAGUGACUUGAUGAAGGCAACCAUAGGAAUGUUAAUGCCUUCUGGCUAGACUUGUGGUUAGUAAGUGGAUAUUAACCUUUCACCACUUGAACUUCUAUGUUACUUCAUAAAAAAUCCUAGUAUUUUUUGAUCCUAAUGUUUUGUGUGGUUAGAUUACUCAGGUCCUUUUUUCUACCCUUUUCAAAUAAUGGCUACAAAAGCAAGAUAUCUGUAGCUAUAUGGACCUUCUUGUUACUGGGAGAAGCAAGCCUAGCUUUUAAUGAUUUAAAUACAGCAAAGCCUUCAUCCAGCAUCUUGAAUUAAGACCAUGUAUUGGCUGAGGUUUCUGAGCUCAAAAAGCUACUUUUAGGCUGAACUCUUGGAGCAGUCAGAUGAACAGAAUAAAUGUUACUAGGAUAAUCCCAUGAUUGCAAUGUAUGAUAAUCCGGUGGUAGGUUGUUUGUUUAGCUGUGAUGACAUCCUACUAGUUUCUAUCUAAUCUUGUAUUUUACUGACACUGUAAAGUUUAAUUUGCAAAGCACAAAGAGCAGUAGUCUUGAGUAAGACUUGCAUAUCACAACAGCAGUGAAGGCUGUGCUAGCUCAGAAUACAAUCAGCUUUUAUUUUCUGGCUUUUCCUGUUAAAAUGUUGGACAAUGUUAGACUUGAUUUGUGUUCCUAUCUUCUUUGGUCCACAGCAGUUUGAAAGCUUAAACGUAAUACGUUCCAUGAAGAUCAAGAAAUGUAAAUGUCUAGGUAUUCUCAGUAUCUCUCUUUCUUGUCCUGCCUUCCAACAUGGAGUAAAUAUAGGCUCAUUUUUAGCAGAAAGCAGCUCAGCCCAUUUCUAACAUUGCAAUAAUUGGGUGUGGGGAACCUUGAAAAGAUUUUUCAACUCUGGUCAGACAAUGUGUCUGACAGUAUGCCUGUGAUUCAGAGGAAUGUUUUAGGUCACUGCUGACAAUUCUAGAAUACGUUGCUUGUCUGAGAUCGGAGUGAUCUGAUGGGGUUCUUAGUUGUCCAAUGCUGUCCUAAAUAUCUUGUAUCCGUGUGCUGCUCCUCCACUGUGGUGUUGUCCUGUAGACGUGCUGUAUCUGGCCACACUAGAUGCCUGUAUCUGGGCAGCUCGCUCGCUCUUGACAUAGCAAGAAUUUCCUUCAGCAUGAAGUUAACAUUCGACUUCAGUAUUGCUUAUAACUUAGCAAACUCAACAUACUUAUGUUUGCACUAUCAGUAGUUUUCUGUAUCCAUUCUUCACUCAUGCCUGCAAGUGCUGCAAGUACGUGGUUAUAAUUGCUGAGAUUUUAAAACAUUGAAACUAAGUUUGAGUUGAGGCUGUGUAAGUACUAAUAAUAGGUUGAGUGUAGGCAUGGCUACUGUAAGGAGGCUGCAUGCCCUCAGGUGUUCAAUGAUAGGCUUCCAUAGACCUUGCUGGAGGACAAAGCAUUGAUUUUAAACUGUUCUUUGAAAUUUUUAGAAAUAUAACUAAAAUCAAAGGAUGCAUCCAGCGUAUAACUAGGAUUUUUCUUUAAGUGGACUUUCUCCAGCGUCUUCUAAUUAGAAGGAAAAAUUCUUGCUGACACUAAAAAAGAGUUCUUACUAGGCUAAUUAAAAACAAAGUUGGACAAAUACUCAGUUCCCAGUCAAUCUAGUCUAUCUGUAGUACUAAUUAUCAGCAAAAUAAUGGAAUGCAUGUGGACAGGUAUGAAACUUAAUGCACUCUGCAUUGCAUGAAUGUCUGAAAACAGAAGGUAGAGACUCUGUGGGUCCAGGCCCUUGUUGUUGCAGGAAAGAAUCAAUUCUUAACUGUCUCAAAUAUAAACAUUAAUUGGAUUGCUGGCUGUCUCCUUUCCUGACAGAUAGUAUUUACUUAUUCUGGUUCUUUAAUGUCUUCUGGCCUCCAGCAUGGCUGGCUGUGGUGAGUUCAUAGCGCGUGGUUUUGUGACAUUUUCCUCUAGUGUAAGUAGCUCUUCUGCCCACCUGUUGUCUCCUACAGCCACGUGUGCCAUUUGAUAGAGACUAAUUGCUCUUCAGUCUGUGUUUUGACUAAAUGCUCUUUUUCAGUCUCUUCUUCAGCUACGUUAUUUUUAGAGUGCAGUGGUGCUUUUCAUGCAAGGUUUUACCAGUGCAAAUGCCAUUUUUCUAUCUCAUGUUUCACCAGGGCUUCAUUAAAACGACACUUGUGCUUCUAUAGGGAAUUUCUCUAUAUUAAAGAAUGCAUUAAGUCAGUACUCCAUUAUCAGCAUCCUCGAGAUAAUCUUUUUCCUCUCCAGGUUGCACUUCCCAUAUUUAUGAUCCACGGGUGUUAGUGUUACGUUUCAGGCAGCAGGACUUGAAAUGAAGCAAAGUUGGUCUCAGGCUCGUAGUUAUAAUCCUUUCAUCCAUUUGCCCCCUCCAUUAAUUUACUGCUUUUUAUAAUACCUUUUGUUAGUAAGCCUUCUAAUUACCUACGAUUAUUUCUGUUAAUCUUCAUUGUUUCUACUUUAUUUCCUGUGUGAUACCACAUGUAAUUCAAAUAGGUAAUGCCUACUCCUUUUCUUUCUUAAGAAAUAUUUCUUUAUUAAAUAGAGUUGUUUGGCAUAAUCUGUGUGGUGCACACGUUCUCGCAACUCAUUUUCUGUUGACUUUGUUGCCUUUGGUUCAUGCUUUCCUUUAGAAUGUGCUGAAAACCCAAACAUACGGUUAUUUUUUCCUUAUGUUUAGUUCUUUGCUUGUCUUACUAACAUCAAAUGUAGUUAUUGGUUAUGCUGUUUUCAGCACUUACAUUGUGAAUCUUGUUUUUGCUUUGAACAUACUCUUUCAACUUCAAUUUCAGAUGUGCCAUAGAGUUUUUCUCCGGUUCUUCUAUUUAUGUGGAACACAAAACUUUUGUUAGCAAGUUCUGACUCCUGUUACUUUUUGUUGCUCCGUCUGUUUUUUUUAAAUUAUUAUCUGUGUAUUAUUUUUUUUCCUUUUCACACAGCUGAGUUUGUAGCUUUUUCUUUUAAAAGGAUCUCCUCCCUUCCAGCCCCUUCUCCCUUUGCUUUAGGGAAUCUGUGGUGCAGGUAAGUUCCAUAAGUAUUCUAAUGAAGAAUCCUUAAGUAAGCUAGGUACAUAACUAUAAAAUAGAAAACAUAAAAUUGCAAUUUUUCAUGUAUAUUAAUUUAACUAGUGUAUCUAUGUAAGGAAAUGAUGCAUCAGGGACAGUGUGAUUGUCCUCAAGCCCUGGAUUGUUGUACUCUGAGGCUAUAUCAGAGUUCCUGACCUGGAUUGUCUGUAAAGGUAAAGCCAUUUGGUCAGAGAAACGCAGACUUCUAAUAGUAAUUCUAAUAAUGUUAGCUAUUCUGUUAAUUGGCAAUACUACUUUUCUUGAAUAUUCUGAAAAUAUGAAUGUGACUCUUAAAGAUUCAGUUGUAACAUCACUGCCUCUUUAAGCUUUCUCCUUACCCCACAUUUGGUAUCAGUGAGAAUGAGAGCUUUCUGGUGUGUUCCCACUGCCUGUGUGUGUUGGGCUGUGCAUAAUGUAGGUUGUAAAUAAAGAACCCUUAAAAUGUGAAAGUUUUCUUUCCUGUUCUAUUGAGCUUUGACAACCUUUCUGCCCCCAGAUCCAGGUGUAUAUGCUUUUGUUUAGCUAGUGAAAGGGCUGCUUGGUGUUUGGGUUUUGAGGAUGGCUGGUUUUUCCCUGUCAAGUUUACUUUGACUCAGUUGUGGAAUCUUAGAGAUGUUUUUGAAGAAAAUACAGGCCCUUUUUUUGUUGUUUCCUUCAUACAAUUUUCCUUCUCCAAACUAGCUGUCCAGAAAAUUUUCAGGUAACUUCAUCAAAUUCUGGAGUGCUGUAUUUGUUUCUUAAAUAGACAUUAAAUGGUGGGAGUUCAAGAUCCUUCAGAAUAUAGAUUUAUGGGUGGCAGUCUUUGUCCUGUGUUCACACUUCACAAAAGAAAAUUGUCACGCUUGAAACCUUCAUUAUGUUUACUCCUAGAUAUUCCAUCCCUUCUAAAGAGGGAGAUGCUGAUGCAGUGUUUGAUCCCAGUAGAUUUCCUUAGUGUGUGGCCAUUUGCUUCAUUGAUUAAACUGUGAGGGAGGAGGUUACGUUUGGCACAUAGUGCCAAAGUUUGCAUUGCUUCCUUGACAGAACUCUCUGCUCCUUAAGAAAAUGAAAUAUCUUUGAAAGCUCUGGGUACCAGGAUGGCAGAAAUUGAUGCUCUGUGUGUGUUGUUUCCUUUUUUUUUCCUGUCAGGGAAAGGAGAAAUAGGCUUUCCAUCUCCCUUGUGCUUGGGUCUGAGCAAUUAGGCUGCUCUUCUAAUGAUAUGCUUUCAAAAGCGUUCAUUAAGAAGCAGCGGGAUGCUCAUUUUUCUCUGCUUUCCUGUGUUACCAGGCUUUUCAGUUUAGCAAUAUAGAAUCAUGCAUAAACAGCUGUUGAGUCAGGCCGUCGUAUCACUGAGGCAAUUGUCUUCUGCCCUCCCUCCGAUGAGAAAGUUGAACAAAGGAAUUUACAAAAUUAAACUGCAAUGCAGGGCGCUGCUUAACACUGGAUCGUAAACCCCAUUUAGAAAAGCUGCUGCAGAGCACAGUAGCUCAUUUAUAAACAAUUCAGGAGGACUAACUAUAAGAAUCAGAUAGCGUAAUCCUCUGCAAAUUGAACUGUCUCUACUAAAUGGUCUUCAGUUGUGGUUUCUGCAGGAAAAUGGUUUAGCUGUAACAGAGUUCAGGAAGGUUUGCUGGCUCAGAAACAUGGCUGAUUAGAUUUGACCAGAUAUCAGCUUUUUGGAUAUCAGCUUUUUGUUGUGAGAUUUUACUGAGUGAACUCCAGUUUGAAAACCAUUCCUAGGUCUGUGGUAUUCAGGUCUGGAUGGCUGUUGCAUGUGAUAACAUGACAGUUUAAUGUGCCAUGUGUUCUAGAGCUUGACCUUAAAUUAAUGCAUAUUAGUUGAAAAUGGGCUAAACUGAAACAGUUGUUCUUAGUAAAUAGAUACACUUAAUGGAUAGUGGAAUUCUCAGUUCAUCUAAAUGAUUCUGAAUAAUUUUAUUAUCUAAUUACACUGUUCUUUUGGAACACUUUUUCAUCACAUUAACUUUGUGAAGCAGCUUUGUACUUACAAACGCUUAUGUACAGUCAUCAUGUACUGAAUGAAUUUAUAUCUCAGUGCAUAAACUAUGUUAAUCUCCAGGUAUUGAGAACAUAGAUUAAAAUGCUCUUUACUGUUUUAUUGGUGCUUAAAGUGGAGGUCUGAGACAUUUGACACAAAGGACGUUGGUUUUUUUGUUUGUGUUUGCAUAUCUCAUUACAGCUUCUGAACUCAGUGAACUUGCAGGAAGUAUCAGCUCAGUUCUAAACAAGUAAAAUAGCUUACCUUCUGUCAUAUUGAGCAAAAGAAUAAUCACAGCUGACCUUGUCCAGAUGCUUAGAUUAUUGCUAGCCAGUUAAUCAGAGGCUUUGCUGGAAAAAUAAAAGAAGGAAUUUAAAUCAGUUCUGAAGUUCUAGUUGGACAUUCAGUUAUCAGAGUUGAAUAAAGGUUUUAAAUUGACAAAAUCCUGCCAAGUCUUGCUGCCAUUGCUUUUCAAGUGCGAUAACAGUAUCUGAAGACAGUGCAUAAGGAUUCCUUUGCCAUAGCAGGAAUUUUUCUGCAUGCAUAGUGCAAUGCAAGUGCAUGAUGGAUAGAAUGUGUGCAGCUCUUCUCAGUCUGUUCCACAGGUCAUUAUUUUUUUGUUUGUUCCUGUUCCUCUGGACUUAACUCAUUCAUCAGUACAAGGAUGGUCUUAGACAGAAAACUAGAUUCAGAUUGUUUAAGCCAAAACUAAAAGAACAGUUUUCUGUUGUGUAUCUCAGGAUUUUGUACAAAAGAACUGCUCGUGUCUUUUUAUGCUAGAACCAUGGGUCUUUUUUGUUCAGCCUAGUAAUCUUGCCCUGCAUGUCCUAACAAGGUGCAUGUUUAGAACUCUAAUAAAUACACUAGACAUGGUAUAUAGUAUCUGCAGUUGUGGUGAUGAAAUAGGGCUAUUGCUUUUAUAAAUCUCUCUAUUCAGGAGUACAUAUGAAUAAUUCAGUCAGGAGCCUAAGAUCUUCAUAUAUUGCCACCUGCUCAUUAUUCAGAAUUCUCAUUGCAGACUGCUGUUGCCUUAGCAACAUUCUGAAAAUUAGUACUGCAUUUAUGAGAAAGCUUUUGUUUAUCUAGCGAAGCCCACUAUCCAAUCUGUAAUAUUGCAGGAUGCUCCUCAAGUGGAUACUCUAGGCCCCAGUCCUGGUUGUUUAAAAAAUAGUCUCCUCUUAUGUGGCAUUAAUUGAAGAUUGAUUGUUUGUGUUGUUGCUUUUUUUUUUUAAACCAUAGAUAUUAAAUAUGGUGAUUUAACUUAGUCUCCUUAGUGUCUGAUAAUGCCAUUGCAUGAUUCAUUUGACUAGAGAUGCUUUCCUUUAUAGAUGUGCAAGAAAGUAACAAUCCUGCGUUGACUGCUGGUUUCUUCUCAGGGUCCUUCACUCCCUCUUCUCUCCUGCUCAUUCUUCCCUCUGUGUCUUGACUUUUCCAUGAGAAGUCAGAGCUUGCUUAACCUUGAGUGCUCUGCGAUGUAAAAAGAUAUAUUUGUACUUAAGAAUUUAACGGUAGCUGAAUCUGGAGCAUGGAGGAAGAGGUGGUGGUGUUUAUAGUAAAAUCCAUGAAUCUGCUGUUGUUGUGACCAACGGAAUUUAUCUCAACUUGCUUUCACUGUUACAAGUUAAAUACACUUGCUUCUCUCACAAGAUGUACCCACAGCAUCUCCUUCUGGAGCAAACGAAGGGGCACAGCUGAGAUAUUUGAUGGUUUUGGUUUUCUUGAAGGGAGAGAAAUAAAUUGAAAAACAAUAUUAAAAAUACCCAACUUCCAAAAUCCUCUCUCUUGGCACAAAGCAAAUGAAAGCUGCCAUCUUUCCCCCAACUUUCCUUUCAUUUGCAGUUCAGGUCUUCGUUGCAUGUUGUAUUGAACUUACUUGGUUCAAAUCCUCAGUUGCUCGUUUGGUUCUGAAUCUGCAGAAAGGAAUGUGUACCUGCUCUGAAAGGAAUUUUCACUCUUGGUUUAUCUGACCUAUUGAUUUGCAGAUUCUAAGAUCUGAACAGUAAAGAGGACUUGUACUAAAUCAGCUCUUCAGAAAAAUAGGUAUUUGUCCUGACAUAAAGGCCUCAGUUUAAUACAUUCCAUAGUGUUUUCCCUCUGAAGCAC